rnacentral:rRNA from 1 species
GACGAACGCUGGCGGCGUGCCUAAUACAUGCAAGUCGAACGCAGUGGGGACGGGUGAGUAACACGUGGGUAACCUCCCAUCAGAGGGGAUAACACUUGGACACAGGUGCUAAACCGAUCCUGAUGGAUGGACCCGCGGUGCAUUAGCUAGUUGGUGAGGUACCGGCUCACCAAGGCCACGAUGCAUAGCCGACCGGAGAGGGGGAUCGGCAACACUGGAACUAGGACACGGCCCAGACUCCUACGGGAGGCAGCAGUAGGGAAUCUUCGGCAAGGGACGAAAGUCUGACCGGGCAACGCGGCGGAAGUGAAGAAGGUUUUCGGAUCGUAAAACUCUGUUGUUAGAGAAGCGGUAUCUAACCAGAAAGCCACGGCUAACUACGUGCCAGCCGCCGCGGUAAUAC